rnacentral:misc_RNA from 1 species
CAGAUGUGGAUCGAGAGAGUGCAUGAGAGUGAGGGCGCUCCUAGUGCAAUCGUCGGUAGUUGACAGUGAGAAUACAGUACUCGGUGUAAAUAAUGGAAAGAUAGGCGAGAAACAAAAACAACGGGCGGCAACCAUCGAGUUGAAUGGGUGGGUCGGGCAUCGAACAGGCGACGAGGCACAAGCUGAACGCGGUGCCACACCACGUCGGUUACGGGGAUUACGUCCUCGUUAUCGGCGAGCCACCCGCUGCUGUGUGCCGCUGUUACCAACCAAAUCAUCAUACGCCACCUGGUACGUUUUUGCUGCCGUCACCACCACUCGGUCAUCUCAACGUCGAUACUCAAUUUAUCGAGAAUAUCAAUCUCGAUACUAUCAAUAACAAUUAUCAACACGCUGAUAAUAGUGCUAAACUUGACGCGAACGACAACACCAAGACCGCCAUGUCUUCACCACCUCGACAUCGUCGAGGUUUCGAUACUAAUGACGUCACUGGCGGCGACUUUCGUCGUUAUCGCCGGGUUAAAAAGCGACGAUCGCUGCCGAAGCUCAGCAGCCAGGACGAGGAUGGGCCAAACCCUCACACCCAAUAUACAGGCGUCACACACUUCGAACCGAUUCCACACGAUCAUGACUUCUGUGGGAGGGUCGUCAUCAACGUGAGUGGAUUACGAUUCGAAACACAGCUGCGUACGUUGAACCAGUUUCCGGAUACACUUCUUGGUGAUCCGGCCAGACGGAUUCGAUACUUUGAUCCACUACGCAACGAAUACUUUUUCGAUCGGAAUCGACCCUCAUUUGAUGCAAUUCUUUAUUACUAUCAAAGUGGCGGACGUCUUCGACGGCCAGUUAAUGUACCCCUUGAUGUCUUCUCCGAAGAAAUCAAGUUUUAUGAGCUGGGAGAAUUGGCCACAAAUAAAUUCAGGGAAGACGAAGGAUUCAUUAAGGAAGAAGAAAAGCCGCUGCCAUCGCAUGAGCUUCAAAGGAAAGUUUGGUUACUAUUCGAGUAUCCGGAAAGCUCACAAGGAGCAAGAGUCGUCGCCAUCAUCUCCGUAUUCGUGAUUCUCCUCUCGAUUGUAAUCUUUUGUCUGGAAACCCUGCCUGAAUUUAAACAUUACAAAGUGUUCAACACUACGACGAACGGCACAAAAAUUGAAGAGGAUGAAGUGCCGGACAUUACGGAUCCGUUCUUCCUAAUAGAGACUAUUUGUAUCAUCUGGUUCACGUUUGAGUUAUCGGUGCGCUUCCUCGCCUGCCCAAAUAAACUAAAUUUCUUCCGUGACCUUAUGAACUUUAUUGACAUCAUCGCGAUCAUUCCGUACUUCAUUACACUAGGCACGGUGAUUGCCGGAAAGGAGCACGAAUUUGACCUGCCAAAGGCCCCGGUCAGCCCGCAGGAUAAAAGCACCAACCAGGCGAUGUCCCUCGCGAUACUAAGGGUCAUUAGACUAGUUCGAGUAUUUCGAAUAUUCAAACUAUCCAGGCAUAGUAAAGGCCUUCAAAUCCUUGGUAGAACUCUCAAGGCUUCUAUGCGGGAGUUGGGUCUGCUCAUCUUUUUCCUAUUUAUCGGUGUGGUGCUAUUCUCCUCAGCUGUUUACUUCGCGGAGGCCGGCUCCGAGAAUUCGUUCUUCAAGUCCAUUCCGGACGCGUUCUGGUGGGCCGUUGUCACGAUGACGACCGUGGGCUAUGGUGACAUGACGUAUGAUGCCCGUGGGAGUCUGGGGAAAAAUCGUUGGUUCACUCUGUGCGAUUGCUGGAGUACUCACGAUUGCUUUGCCAGUACCAGUCAUCGUCUCCAAUUUCAAUUACUUCUAUCAUCGAGAGACUGACCAAGAAGAGAUGCAAUCACAAAACUUCAAUCAUGUUACCAGCUGUCCGUAUCUCCCUGGCACUUUAGGUCAACACAUUAAAAAGAGCUCAAUGUCAGAGUCAUCAUCAGACAUAAUGGAACUGGAAGAGGGUAUUUUGAUAGCUCAUUCAGAGGUUACUAAGAAACCAAACUGCAAUCCCCGCCAUAAUAAUAACAUUAAUC